UGGGGAAUUUUGGACAAUGGGCGAAAGCCUGAUCCAGCAAUGCCGCGUGUGUGAAGAAGGCCUUCGGGUUGUAAAGCACUUUUGUCCGGAAAGAAAUCCUUGGCUCUAAUACAGUCGGGGGAUGACGGUACCGGAAGAAUAAGCACCGGCUAACUACGUGCCAGCAGCCGCGGUAAUACGUAGGGUGCAAGCGUUAAUCGGAAUUACUGGGCGUAAAGCGUGCGCAGGCGGUUUGCUAAGACCGAUGUGAAAUCCCCGGGCUCAACCUGGGAACUGCAUUGGUGACUGGCAGGCUAGAGUAUGGCAGAGGGGGGUAGAAUUCCACGUGUAGCAGUGAAAUGCGUAGAGAUGUGGAGGAAUACCGAUGGCGAAGGCAGCCCCCUGGGCCAAUACUGACGCUCAUGCACGAAAAGCGUGGGGAGCAAAACAGGAUUAGAUACCCUGGUAGUCCACGCCCUAAAACGAUGUCAACUAGUUGUUGGGGAUUCAUUUCCUUAGUAACGUAGCUAACGCGUGAAGUUGACCGCCUGGGGAGUACGGUCGCAAGAUUAAAACUUAAAUGAAUUGACGGGGUCAUAGCUGUUUCCU
rnacentral:rRNA from 1 species